rnacentral:lncRNA from 1 species
CUUACUGCCAUAACAUAAGGAUGAUUUGCAAAGCAGCCUUCUAAGUUAAAAUCUUUGAUUUUAUAAAUAAGGAUUCUGACUCUCAGAAGACUGAAUAUCACCCAGUACAGGCAACUGUGCUAUUUAAAAAGGUGAAAUUGAGAAACGGACUUGGCCCAGUGGUUAGGGCGUCCGUCUACCACAUGGGAGAUCCGCGGUUCAAACCCCGGGCCUCCUUGACCCGUGUGGAGCUGGCCCAUGUGCAGUGCUGAUGCGCGCAAGGAGUGCCCUGCCACGCAGGGGUGUCCCCCGCGUAGGGGAGCCCCACGCGCAAGGAGUGCGCCCCGUUAAGAAGAGCCGCCCAGCAUGAAGGAAAGUGCAGCCUGCCCAGGAAUGGCGCCGCCCACACUUCCCGUGCCGCUGAGGACAACAGAAGUGGACAAAGAAACAAGACGCAGCAAAUAGACACAGAGAAGAGACAACUGGGGGAGGGGGGGAAUUAAAUAAAUAAAUCUUUAAAAAAAUAAAAAAUAAAAAGAUGAAAUUGUGCCAGAUUGU